CCAGGUCGUCCACAGGCAUAUAAUCGCAAUGGUAGGCCUGCACUAUCACCUCAGGUACGAGAUUAUGAUCAUAUUCCUAAACUAAAAUUGAAUAUUCCACUGUUUGAGAGUAGAUACAUUCCUGAUGUAUAUCUUACUUGGGAGUCAGAAACUGAACAACGUUUCACAUGCUUACAAUAUCCUAAGGAGAGACGUGUUGCUGCUGCUGUUUGUGAAUUCACUAGUUUUGCUUCUGUUUGGUGGUCUGAACAUUGUAGAUAAUAUCCUAUUCCAACUACUUGGCCUGCUUUGAAAAUUGCUAUGAGCACUCAUUGGGUUCCACCAUAUUAUGAACAUGAAUUGCUUCAAAAAUUGCAGCGUUUAAGACAAGGAAAAAAUUCUGUAGAAGAAUAUUAUCAGGAAUUACAAACUGGCAUGAUUAGAUGUGGUAUUGUUGAGGAUAAUGAAGAUAUGCUUGCACGUUUUAUGGGUAGGUUAAAUAAGGAGAUUCAAACCAUUCUAGUGUAUAAGGAGUAUAAUAAUAUCACUCGUUUAUUCCAUCUUGCUUGUAAAGCUGAACGUGAAGUGCGGGAUCGACAGGCAUUGGCGCGAACUAAUUUUUCUGGAGGUUGAUCUUCAUCAUGGACACCACGUACAUCCUCUACUCCCACAUGUCCUACUACAGCACCACUGACUUCAGCCGCCAAUUCCAACCGAGAUACAAGAAAAUAGGCACCACCACCACC
rnacentral:lncRNA from 1 species